UAUAACGCAGGUCGGAGAGUAUUCCGGCCCAGGACGUUCGGCAACACCCAAAACAUCAGUCCACCUCAGUCUGGGUCCGUUGCAGUAAACGGCACUGCCGCACUGCAUUUAACAGAAGCAUCUGUUGAAUUGAAUAUGAGAAGGACAACUUUACAAAACAUGAAGAGAUUCGGCUAUAACCGAAUACGCAGUAGUUUUGUGCCUUCAACCGCCUCAUCAAAUCUCAACCAGGAUAUUCAGAGCUCGGGGAGUUCCUCAAAUAAAGUUAAAGAAACCUUUUCGAACAAAACCGGGCAGCCUGCUCGCAUACUCGAGGAUAUCAAAUCUUAUAUUGGAGAUUACUUGAAGAAAACAGCAAGAGCAGAAGGAAAAUUCGGAUACGAAAGAAAUCCAUUCUACUGGAGGCACUCAGUCGAAGAGGAUGCUGAGUUCAGAAAAACGCGAUUUUCUCUGAAGAAAUCCAGACUGGGUCUGACGAAAUACCGGUCGGUGUCUACCGGAGAGGAGGUUGGAUUUUACCGCAGUGCAAAAAAGUCGUCAGGUCAGCUUUUCGUCGUAAAGCCAACACUGUUCAGUAGCUGCCUCAGUCGUGCUGCUAACGAGUCAGGCUGGCUGGACCUCGGAAAGAAACCCGAUACGCUUGAGAAAUGCACG